rnacentral:rRNA from 1 species
GACGAAGGGGGCUAGCGUUGUUCGGAAUUACUGGGCGUAAAGCGCGUGUAGGCGGUUGGCCAAGUCGGGUGUGAAAGCCUUGAGCUCAACUCAAGAAAUGCACUCGGUACUGGGUGACUAGAGGACCGGAGAGGAUAGUGGAAUUCCCAGUGUAGUGGUGAAAUACGUAGAGAUUGGGAAGAACACCAGUGGCGAAGGCGGCUAUCUGGACGGUUUCUGACGCUAAGACGCGAAAGCGUGGGGAGCAAACAGG